rnacentral:rRNA from 1 species
AGAGUUUGAUCCUGGCUCAGAACGAACGCUGGUAGCGUGGAUUAGGCAUGCAAGUCGAACGGGAUCGCCGAGUUAGCAAUAAUGAGGCGUGAGAGUGGCGGAUUGGGGAGGGACACGUGAGCAACCUGCCUUUGAGUUGGGGAAAACCAUUGGAAACGAUGGCUAAUACCGGAUGUGGCGCCUGGGGACAUCCCCGGAGCGCUAAAGGGGGCGACCCGCAAGGGGCUCCCGCUCGUAGAAGGGCUCGCGCACCAUCAGCUUGUUGGCGGGGUAACGGCCCACCAAGGCUUACGGUUAGCUGGUCUGAGAGGAUGACCAGCCCCACUGGGACUGAGAUACUGCCCAGACUCCUACGGGAGGCUGCAGUCGAGGAUCAUUUGCAAUGGGCGAAAGCCUGACAAUGCGACGCUGCGUGGAGGAUGAAGGCCUUCGGGUUGUAAACUCCUGUCAUAAGGGAACAGGCGAGGGUACCCAAUACGUACCUUAGUUGAGUGUACUUUAAGAGGAAGGGACGGCUAACUCUGUGCCAGCAGCCGCGGUAAUACAGAGGUCCCUAGCGUUGUUCGGAUUUACUGAGCGUAAAGGGCGCGUAGGCGGCAGGGCGUGUCAAGUGUGAAAUCUCCGGGCUCAACCCGGAAAGUGCGCUUGAAACUACCUUGCUUGGAGUACGGAAGAGGGAAUCGGAAUACAGGGUGUAGCGGUGAAAUGCGUUGAUAUCCUGUAGAACACCGGAGGCGAAGGCGGAUUCCUGGUACGUUACUGACGCUGAGGCGCGAAAGUCGGGGGAGCAAACAGGAUUAGAUACCCUGGUAGUCCCGACCUUAAACGGUGCACACUCGGGGUGGGGCCAUUCACCGGCUCCGUCCCUAAGCUAACGCGAUAAGUGUGCCGCCUGGGGAGUACGGCCGCAAGGCUAAAACUCAAAGAAAUUGACGGGGGCCCGCACAAGCAGAGGAGCAUGUGGCUUAAUUCGAUGCAACGCGAAGAACCUUACCUGGGUUUGACAUGUAGCUGCAAGGCUUAUGAAAGUAGGCCGCCUUCGAGGGUGCUACACAGGUGCUGCAUGGCUGUCGUCAGUUCGUGCCGUGAGGUGUUUGGUUAAGUCCACCAACGAACGCAACCCCUUUGACAUGUUGCCAGCGCGUUAUGGCGGGAACUCGUGUCACACUGCCUGUUUACGCAGGAGGAAGGUGGGGAUGACGUCAAGUCAGUAUGGCCCUUACACCCAGGGCUGCACACGUGCUACAAUGGCCGGUACAGAGGGAUGCGAUACCGCGAGGAGGAGCUAACCCCUAGAGAGCCGGCCUCAGUUCGGAUUGGGGUCUGCAGCCCGACCCCAUGAAGUCGGAUUUGCUAGUAACGGCGCAUCAGCAUUUGGUGCCGUGAAUGCGUUCCCGGGCCUUGUACACACCGCCCGUCACAUCAUGAAAGCCGUCUGCACCCGAAGUCGGGCAUUUGUCCGCCUAAGGUGUGGGUGGUGAUUGGGAUGAAGUCGUAACAAGGUAACC